GGGGAGUGCUUCCAGAGCCCCGUCUGGCCCGCGGGCGAAGCUUGGCUAAGCAGGGCCACCGGCUGAAGGAACAGAGAGACAGAGUGAUGAGGAUGGUUGGCUUUCAGUGCUUGGGAAGAGACCGUUUAUUUGCGUUUUGGUUUUGUCCCCAGGUCAAGGCUGGGAUUCCUGGAACCUAGGGUGAGGAGUGGGGAGGCUGUAUAGUACUUAGACUUGUAGGGCCAAAUCAGCAACUCCCUCCUUACACCUUCGCCAUUUCUAACUCAGAGCCUAAGUUACCUGAAGAGGGCCUCAGGACCCCGGCCAGCUGAAUUUAGUAAGAUAAUACCAAACCAGCCCAGGCCCUAGUCCGAAGCAAGGCAUUUCUCCACUUCUCUGUGUUCUGCCAGUAAUUUCAGAGAGUAAGAGUAGGAAAGAUGUGGUGGGGGAAUUGGAAGGCCCCCAGCCCCCUAUUGCUGCUGAUUUUCCAAAGCUUUUGCAGGGAAAUGCGGAUGGUUAGUCUAGAGAAGUGAGAUGGUCAGUGACCAGAGAGGAGGAGCCCACGUUCUGGAUCAGUGCUUUUCAAGGAAGAGAAGGUUAAAAAAUAAGCCCAGGCAGUCAGGAAAUCCAGGAAGGCACCAGGUGGGUGGAGUGGGGUAGUCUCCCUGCAGGAAAACAGGUCAAUUUGAGAAAGAAUGCUGGCAGGGGUGAGGGGAAGAGAGGAUCCCAGCCUUUUCAAGUCACCACCAAGGUUCUGCAGUUCCUCAGAGAGCGGAACACACAACCAGAAAAGAAGUUUGGAGAUCUCUGGUUUGAAAAACUGACUCCUGGAGAGCAAGAAUUUGUCAGUGACUCUCCAGCGUGAUCCAUACAGAGGGUGCCCGGCCAGCGUCUGAGUUACCCAUGGUCAACUGCCUUCGGGAAGCAGAUGAUCUUCCUGACUGAUCCUGGGAAGGUCCAUAUUGCCCAGCACUACAUCAUAUGCCUGCGUCAGCCCUCAAAGUCGUCUUAUUAUGUCAGCGAGGUAUCGUCUCACAUCACCACGAGAAGUGGAAAAGAAAACUGUUUUCACCAUUACUAUAGACCAAUGAUGAUCAUUUACUCUGAGACAGAGAACAAGGUAUCAAUCAGCUUUUAUUCUUAUCUCUCCUGCUGCUUCUCUGUGCAGUGCUCUAAAAGAGACCUGAAACAUUGGGAAAAAGCUAAUUUACCUUUUAAAAAAAAAAUAAGACCAACACUCUUAAGGCUCCAAACAAGACCGGAUCACAGCUUCAGGUCAGUAGAAGAAUUACAGGGCAGACACAUAAUCCUAUUCAUAAACAGCAACCAGUGUUAACAGUUGUUUCAUUUUCUUCUUUUCUCUUCUCUCCAAGACUAAUUAGCAUUACACACAGUGUAUUCCUUGUUACAAAUGCCUUCUUUCAGUGUUAGAACUAUAGUAUCUUUUGAUUACCCACAACUCUGAUCUAGUUUUUCAGUUAUGCAAAAGCCAAACACUCUGUAACACUUCAGACUAGCUAAACUAAAAAAAAAAAAAAAAAAAAAAAAAAAAAAAAAUAGAAACAACUAUCACAAGUGGAUGUGACACGUAUACUACCUUCACUUUGUGAAUCAUCAUCACUUCAAAGAUAAACUAUAAAAGAAGACCUUUAAAAAAAAAGAAUACCUUUUUAAAUACUUACUGCUGAAAAGCUGCCAUUGUAUUCUCCAAAUUUUCUCCAGCACCUGUGAAAACAUUAAAUUUAAAUUUCAUUUACUAGCUAAUUUCAACUUUUAAAAAAAAUUUUAAAAAAUUUUAAAGAUUUUAUUAAUUUAUUUGAGAGAGCACACACAUGCACAGGAGUUGGAGGGAGAAGUGGAAGGCAGAGGGAGAGAGAGAAGCCGACUCCCCUCUGAGCAGGGCUCAGGGCCCAAUCCCAGGACCCUGGGACCAUGAUUUAUGAAGGCAGAUGCUUAACUGACUGAGCCACCCAGGCUCCCCUAAUUUGAACUUUUUAAUUUUUCCAGAAAUUAACUUUGAUAAGCUACAUCUAGUGAAUCUCGAUGUUUACAUACUGUAUAGACAUUACAAAUUUUUUUUUAAGAUUUUAUUUAUUUAUUUGACAGAGAAAAAUCACAAGUAGAUGGAGAGGCAGGCAGAGAGAGAGAGGGAAGCAGGCUCCCUGCUGAGCAGAGAGCCCGAUGCAGGACUCGAUCCCAGGACCCUGAGAUCAUGACCCGAGCCGAAGGCAGUGGCUUAACCCACUGAGCCACCCAGGCGCCCCGGCAUUACAAGUUUUUUAAAGAAUGUAAUAGUAUUUUGAAUUCUUUUUGGCUGCACCAGGAAGAGUCAAAAAUUAAAACAAAGCCGCAGCAACACAGAAAGGUUAGAACCUAAACAUGUUUUUUAAGCUACAAUAUCUGCUCGUCAGAGGAAAGACAGAAGAGGACCUGGUAUGUGUAUAUAUAUAUAUCCUCAGAAACAGUUAAUCUAUCUCUUCUGCAUCCCCAAACUCUCUUACGCAUCUCUCUAGUAAGAAUUUAUCACAUUAUAGCAUAAAUUAUAAAACUGACUCCUUCUUUUCCUAUGAAUUACUGAAAAUAAGUUCCUGUUUUAAUCGCUUUGGCUGAAGACAACAUAGUGCAGUAGUUAAAGGUGGAGUUAGGAUCUUUGCUCACAAAUCUACUUGAUAUUUGCAUGACCUUGGGAAAGUUACAAAACUUCCCUGAGGCUGAGCUUACUUAUCUGUAAGAAUGAGGGAUGCCUAGCUAUCUUAGUGGAGUGUGAGAUUCUUGAUCUCAGGGUUGUGUGCUUGAGCCUCACACUGGGAGUAGAGAUUACAUUUUAAAAAUUAGCAUUAAA